AGGUGAAGAAGAACAACCAUGUAGUAAGAAAGUUGGAGAAGCGUCAACAGAUUUGCACCCUUGACCAGCACAUUGAAGAGCAAUUUGGUGGUGGUCGUCUAUUGGCUUGUAUCUCAUCACGACCUGGACAGUGGCUGUGCUGAUGGGAUGGGAAAACAUUGGACAAUGAGUUGGAGGUUGUUGAGGGAAUGAAGCUAGACAGGGGCUACAUAUCCCCUUAUUUCAUCACCAACCAGAACAAUCAGAAAUGUGAAUUGGAAAAUCCUCUAAUCAUAAUCCAUGAGAAGAAAAUCUCAAGUAUUAAUGAUGUGGUUAAAGUUUUGGAGUUGGUUUUGCAGUUAUGAUUUUAGAUCUGUAGAUAACCUGUUGUUGCUGAUAUUGCUACACGGGAGGAGAAUAGAACAGCUUGGAAAAUGUGCAAGAAGGGAGAGCUAACUCAUACAACGAAGAACAAAUUGAUGAAGUUAAGAUCAAAUUAGUAGAAUUUGUGAGCUCUCCAUUAUUUAUAAUUAUAGGUAGGAAGUAUGUAUGUAAUAGAGCAAAGAUUGGUUGACUAUGUAAUAACAAUUGAAUUGUCAAGUUUUAUGAAAGAAAUAAUUUUUGCUUCU